GCGGAGGAAAAGAAACCAACCGGGAUUGCCUUAGUAACGGCGAGUGAAGCGGCAAAAGCUCAAAUUUGAAAUCUGGUACCUUCGGUGCCCGAGUUGUAAUUUGGAGAGGGCAACUUUGGGGCCGUUCCUUGUCUAUGUUCCUUGGAACAGGACGUCAUAGAGGGUGAGAAUCCCGUGUGGCGAGGAGUGCGGUUCUUUGUAAAGUGCCUUCGAAGAGUCGAGUUGUUUGGGAAUGCAGCUCUAAGUGGGUGGUAAAUUCCAUCUAAAGCUAAAUAUUGGCGAGAGACCGAUAGCGAACAAGUACAGUGAUGGAAAGAUGAAAAGAACUUUGAAAAGAGAGUGAAAAAGUACGUGAAAUUGUUGAAAGGGAAGGGCAUUUGAUCAGACAUGGUGUUUUGUGCCCUCUGCUCCUUGUGGGUAGGGGAAUCUCGCAUUUCACUGGGCCAGCAUCAGUUUUGGUGGCAGGAUAAAUCCAUAGGAAUGUAGCUUGCCUCGGUAAGUAUUAUAGCCUGUGGGAAUACUGCCAGCUGGGACUGAGGACUGCGACGUAAGUCAAGGAUGCUG
rnacentral:rRNA from 1 species